CGACGACGAGAUACCCUAGGCGACGGACCUCCAUCUCUCUCUUCGCAUUUGUUGGCCGGUGGUGGCUGACGGCAGUGGUGGCAGCUUGGCGUGGUCCGCAGGUUCCUUAUCAGAUUUAUUAGGCUGCUAAGGUGUUGGCAGGAAUCUCCGCUUCAAGGUUAUUAUUGCAGGUGAUGAUUGCAUGACAAUCUGGAGCAUUGGCAUGAGAGUGAUUCGCGUUAGAUUUCUAUAAAGGUUGUAAUUAAAUCCAUAGAAUUCAUCUUGUAUUAGUAAGAAUUGUGAUGGUUUUAGUUAAG